GAACAACAAAAUUUCUAGCAUACAAACUAGAAUGAACAAGUUGGCAAAGAAGAUAAAAUAAGGAAAACAAUGAAGACGAUAAUCUAUGAGAUAUACGCAGCCAACACGAAGACAAGACGAAGACAUUUGACAACUUGCAAGGAUGAAAAUGCGCUUCUUGAUAAACAACGGAUAUUGUAUUCAUAAAUGUAUUGAAACAGACUUUAUAAACCACGAUUUCAUUAUAUUACGAGAGUUUAUAUUGUGAAAUUAAGUCAUAGUAAUACAAUUUACAAUAUUUAACACGCCACUUCGAGUGGUCAUCACAUUGGCGACUAAAUGCAAUGAACUGUGUAUUUUUAUCUGUUUGUAGGACUUAAAAUUAAAAGUCUUUUUCUAAUAUUGGAUUCUUAACUGAAUUGUGUAUAUAUUUUAUAAAUAGCAUUUUUAAUAUUUAUAUGCAGUUUCAUAAAUCGUUGUCGUAUUGGACACAAUUAUGACUCAUUCGAGAUGUGCCGAAUCGUACCUACGUUUUAAUAUGAUCAUAUUAAUAAGUAUAGACAAAUCGGUUACCAUUUGUGUGAUGUAAUAUAGCUUCACGCCUGUUACUCUUGAACUCAUUAAGCAGAUAUUAGUCGACUUAAUUGUGUCCCAUAUUUCAACUCAGAUUUCAUAGUACACCUGUUUCACGAUUUGUAUCAUACGAAAACCGUUAUUUAGUAGUCUUUAGAGUAUUCUGCAAUCUGUUUAUCCGAUUCCGAUUCGGACACUCAUUUAUUCGUUGAAACGUUGGUGUGUUUUUUAUAAAUGCAUCCAAAUCAGGGUCAUGCUAAUACUGGUGGGGUUUAUUCUUCAAGCAUUCCAAACCAUUAAUAUUUAUUAAAUUGAAAUAUGAUAAAAAUGUGAAAGUCGUAAAACGUUUAAGUGUUGUUCUGAAUAAAGAGUAAGCAUUUUUUAAUUGAGCGGUGGUGCACGCUCAAUAGAGCAGACCAAGAAUUUUGAAACGUGUUUUUCUGAUCCUUGCGUGUUUUUUUUUUUUUCAACAGUUGCAUAAUUAAGUGUAUUACAGGCUUGAUGAACAAGUAGUAAAAUGUUUGCAUACGUAUGACAAAAGUUGUUUUCGUAUUGACACAAACAUUAUAAAGAAGUGAAACUCCAGCUGCUGGAGCAGUAUUGAAUUAUUAUCAUAAACAAUCAGUUGGUCCUUUAUUUAAGGCAAGUGACCAAUUGCCCAAACAGAACAAAACAGCACAAUACAAAACAACAUAAACACAAAUAAGAAUAAAGCUGGGGUCACCGCCUUGGAACGGUCAAUGCAAAGCAUUGGGGGUUUAAACCGCUUUUAGAGCGCUCAACUUCACACUUGGCCCAGCAAUAUUCAUGUUACAUUUAAUUGUUAAUAGAAAUUAACCUCAUAGCAUUGUGACUCAAAUUAAACAAUAAUAAAAGGGAAUUGAAAUGCAUUCAAUUUAAUUAUCAUUUAAUUACACAAUGGUAUGAAAGAUACCAGAGCAAGAGUGUUACGACUUUUUGAGGCACAAUGAAAUGAAACUACUAACAAGUAUCUACUACAUUCCUUCUUUAUAGAAAAAGAUUUAAAAAUAUAGCGUCAUCAAGUUAAUAUUUCAGAUCAUCAUCGCGCAAAUACAGGAAGAAGGAGCAAUAAUGGGUGUACAGGAUCCAUAUUACAUACCUUUGUUGUUUAUGCGAUUGCUAAAAAAUAAAUCUAACAAGAAACACCUAUCAGAGAUGAAAUAAAAUGAAAAUUGAACGAUAUAAAACCAAUGACCUAUGCAUGAAGAUAACGUCAUUUGGCAAUGUUCAUAUUAGUUUCUGAUUAUAAUAAACUGGUUUGAAAAUCAUACUAUUAAGAUUAGUUAAAGUCUGGUCAUCUGUUUGUGUAUGCGGUCGGAAUAUAUGAGAGAUGAAAACGAGAUCUGAUGGACAAUGUACUGUACUUACGUAAAUCUGUUUGAGUUGUUUCCUUGAAACCUUGUUUGUGAAAAAAGUCUAUGUUGUCUUGUGGAAUGUACAAACUGUUUUCUCAACAAGGGAUAGAACAUGAUAGAUUUUUUUUUUAUGUUCACGUUGAACUUUGAUAAACACUUUUAUUACCUGGUUACCGGAAAGGUUACUUAAUAUUAUUAUAUUUUCUAGAUCUAACUGUAAUUUCAAGAUGUUUAUGAGGUCGUUGUAUAAAAACAUAUGAAUAAUAUAUCAGUUACUUUUUAGUUUUGUAAAUAACGUGUUUAUUGAUUUAUGAAACUGACAUUUAAAUGAUAAAUUGUGCCAUCUUUGUUUUGUUUUGUGUAUUUAACAUUAAAACAUUAAACAGUUAAAUUAUAAAAAUAUAAAUAAUGGCCUCAUCCUUUGUAUUAAAUAUUAUGUAUAUAGACAGCAAUUCAUCGUUCUUCUAGUUAUAAAAUACGUUUACCUCUUCCAAUUUAGCAGUUUAUUUUAAAUGCAUCGUAUGUUAUGUAUUUGUAUUUUUGUUUUAUGUAAAACAUACUUAGUUACAAGGUUAAAUUAACUAUACCAUAGUUGCGCAAACAAGCAUUGUCAUACUGAACUGUAUUACUAUAUGUACACAUUAUUUCUUUUUUAAAGAUGGUAUUCUUUUAAUAUUUGUAUUUGCUUCUUUGUUGUGUAUGGAUCAUUAGUUAGAUAAUCACGGUAUCUUUUGCAGUUUCUAUAUGCCUCAUUUUUAUGUCAAGGUUGUGGUUUAUAUUUUAGUAUUUUAUGUUAUAAGCGUAUGCGACAUGCUGUUAAUAGCCCCACACGUUUAUAUCAUUAUCGUCAAGUGUAAGAGUGUGUCUUGAUAGUUCGCAGUUAUUUAUUGUUAGAUACAAUUCGUUCUCCAAUAGCUGUUACAUUAUAGCAUAUAAUGUGAUCACGCAAUUCAUACAUAUUUAAAAAGAAUAGAUUCAUUAUAUAGUUUAUAUAUAUGCUUGGUUUAAACGGUAAAGCGAGCUGCAUCCCAUCGCCAUUGCCGUUAUAUUCAUGUAAGUGUGUUUGCAAUCUUGUUGACAGUAAUAAAUUAGGUCUUUUCGGGCUAUCGCAUGUGAUCCGUUAAGUCGCACUAUGUGAUUAAAAGAACAAAUGGUGUAAGUAUUCAUGCGUAUAUAAGAGAGAAGAACUGAAAACGUAUAGGUAUAUGUCAAUAAAAACAAAUACAAAUACGAAAAUAUUCUUUUCAUAUAUGAUCGAUAUUCAUAUUUUGAGCUGUUAAGGAAAAAAUGAUCACAAGAUUCGUGAUUAUUAAUGUUAAUCUUUCAUUUUCCAAUAUCUAUGAAAGAUAAAUACGUAUUCGGAAAUUUACAAAAAGAACACCUGAAUGUAUUUGAUCAUUUAGAAAAUAAAGCCUGUUUUGCAAAGGUAUGAAAGUGUCAGAAUUUAAUAAAAUGUGCGUUUUGCAGCAAAAUUAUAUUACAUUGCUUACUUUGUGUAUUUUUUUGUAAAUAUAUGUAUGUGAAUAGGCAACUUUAAUUUUUAAACACCUCGUUCAUGCAUGUGUCUCUGUCGUUUUAUGUGACCGGUUUGAUAAUUAAUGUCCCUUCCAUUAAAAUAUAUUAAGCUUGUGUAUCAGGCUAUGUGAUUAUCUGAUGGCUGACCCAUCUGUAUUGCUUUACUGUCGGUGGCACAGUCUCGCAUAAAUCCAAGUAUCGUGUGUAGAUAAAAUUCACAUAUCGUACAUACUGUGUAAUUAUACUAAUUGCUUAGUAGUAAUGCAUAAUAACAUUGCAUAUCGGAAUUGAAAAGUCAGCCCGUAACAAAACAAAUGUGCUAAGAUGUUUAAUAAUAUAUUUUUUAAAUAAUGUAUCAAAGAUUAGUUUGAGAAUAAAAAUACGGUAUCAUACCUAUGAAUGAUAUCAUGUGACCCGUAACGGUCAAAUGAAUAAACGUUCAAUGUUAAAACGUUUUAUGGCAUAUAUUAUAUUGCAACCGUUGAAGAACGGGGAAUUUUUUAGGUAUUAUCGUUGAUUCACAUCAAUCCGCUAAAUGCGCUAAUUUCCAUAGCAUGGAGGAAAUGUGUAUCUAUAUCAAUGGAUCAAAUAUGAUUAGUAAUAGUUCAUUGAUGAUUGUAUGGUAAUUAUAUUGAAUCGUCAAAAUGCUAUAUUAACGUUGUUUGUUGUUGCAUUUUGCAAUUGUUACAAACUCGAUUCAGUAAAAAUUAAAAUAUAGUAAACGAAAAGCGCCUGAAAUGGUUUUUUUUGUUGGUAAGGCAGUUCUUAAUAGACUUGUCUGAAUUUUCUGACUGCGGUAACUUGUGAUUUGUAGGAAACUCUCAUGCUUUAUGUCAAGUAAUACAUGUACGAACAAGUCGAUCUGGAACAAACAUUGGCAAAUUGUAAUAUAACGGAUAUGAAAACCAUUGUAAAUAGUCAACAAAGGCGUCUUAUCUGAUGUUAUAUGCUUUGUGUUAUUAUGUUAUAAUUUUGUUUCUGCAACGUGUUCAAUGGGUAUGUUAUGUUUUACGUAUUGCCAUGUUAUUGGCUGUUUGUAUAUUUUAUAUAUCCAGUUAUAACAAAGUAGAGAUUAACAUACAUCACGGCAAGUAAAACCCAUGAAUUGAAAUCAUACCGAGUUAUGUGCAUUGUUCUCAACCAUAAUGCAUCAAUGAAAUAUCUGGGAAAAAACGUGCGUAGUCAAAAGGACUUAUUUAAAAGUGUCAUACAAUAAGCAUGGUAAAUAAUAAAACUUGUUCCCAUUUAUUUCCGAUGUAUAAAGAGUAUGUGGGUUCAAAUGCGUAUAGUUAGUAUCUAGUUUUUUUUUUGUUCUAAAUGUUCAUAUAUUGUUAACGAUUUGCGAUGUUUGGAGUCCUAGGAUUUGGAUACCAGAUUAAAAUUGUACUGUAACAAACACAUCAUGUAACCACUCAAUUGUUGAAAAACAUGUUUUCAUUUUAACAUAUCUGAGGGACCCAUAUAUGGUGACCAAUCCUUACGUUCUUUCACAUCCUUUUUUACCAAAUUUAUAAUUACAAUGUGCAAUGUCCAAUGCACUGCAUCUUAGAUGAUUGUAGUAACACGUUAUUCUUACAUACAUAUAUAUAAACAGCUUAAUAUUUUAACUCAUAGAAAAGUUAUAAAAUGUUAAUAUAUAUUUUUAUUUUUGUUUUUAGAAGAACAUAACUAAUUGCUAAACUGUCUGCUAAUGGGGGGGGACAAACCGAUAUUUACUGGUGUCUUACCUAGAAGACAGGGUCCAAUGACUCCUAAUAUCUUCAUUAUUGUUAUUUUACUAGCAUGUUUAGUUCAUUAAGUAUGAUGUGUUCUUUUAUCUCUUUUAUUAUGCUAUAUAGGAACCUUUUCCGACCGAAUAUCGGUCCAUCUGAAUAGAAAUUUGUCCUGUCUCUAACCGCAUUGAUUUGUUUUAAAAUAUCAUGGCGUAUUUUUUAUUUAUAUUAAAAAAUAAUGUUUGCUAUAUGAUAAGAAGUUUCUCGCGCGAACAUUAAAUAGUAACUGUUGAUAUUAAUUCAUGUCCGAUAAAAUCUCCAAACAGUGUACGUUUAACCUUUUAGGCUUCCAUUCAUGUCAAAGCGGUAUGAGGGGACAAUAAUUACAAUGCGUGAUUGAAUAACGUAUAUAUUUAUCAAAUGUUGUUUUGAGGCUGCAUUCAAUAUAUAUUUAUUAUAAUAUGUAUAAUUAGAAUUACAAUUACGUAUAAAUUAUGCAACUGUCAUUCCAGAAUUAUUCAAAGACAAACGAAUCAUUAUCCAUAUUAAAUAUAAUGACAAAGGGGAAAAGCCUCAAAAUCUCAUUAUAUUAACAAAAUUUACUUUUAAUGAAAGGAAUUAUUGUUAGCAUUCAAUAUUCAAUUAGUUUGCACAUAUAGUAAUAAAUAUUGCACGUGUA